CCUACGGGAGGCAGCAGUGAGGAAUAUUGGUCAAUGGCCGGAAGGCUGAACCAGCCAUGCCGCGUGAAGGUCAGUGCCCUAUGGGCGUUAAACUUCUUUUGUGCGGGAGAUAUAAUGGUCACGUGUGGCCAGACGAGAGUACCGUACGAAUAAGCAUCGGCUAACCUCGUGCCAGCAGCCGCGGUAAUACGGGGGAUGCAAGCGUUUUCCGGGUUUAUUGGGUUUAAAGGGUGCGUAGGCUGUGAGGUAAGUCAGCGGUGGAAUGUCCCCGCUCAACGGGGUGAAGUGCCAUUGAUACUGGCUUGCUGGAAUGCGGAUGCCGUGGGAGGAAUGUGUGGUGUAGCGGUGAAAUGCAUAGAUAUCACGCAGAACACCGAUUGCGAAGGCAGCUCACGAAUCCGCGAUUGACGCUGAUGCACGAAAGCGUGGGUAUCAAACAGGAUUAGAUACCCCUGUAGUC
rnacentral:rRNA from 1 species